rnacentral:rRNA from 1 species
AGCGAACGCUGGCGGCAGGCUUAACACAUGCAAGUCGAGCGGGCAUCCUUGUGGUGUCAGCGGCAGACGGGUGAGUAACGCGUGGGAACGUGCCCUUCGGUUCGGAAUAACUCCGGGAAACUUGAGCUAAUACCGGAUACGUGCGAGAGCAGAAAGGUUUAUCUGCCGAAGGAUCGGCCCGCGUCUGAUUAGCUAGUUGGUGAGGUUAUGGCUCACCAAGGCGACGAUCAGUAGCUGGUCUGAGAGGAUGAUCAGCCACACUGGGACUGAGACACGGCCCAGACUCCUACGGGAGGCAGCAGUGGGGAAUAUUGGACAAUGGGGGCAACCCUGAUCCAGCCAUGCCGCGUGAGUGAUGACGGCCUUAGGGUUGUAAAGCUCUUUUCUUCGGGACGAUAAUGACGGUACCGGAGGAAUAAGCCCCGGCUAACUUCGUG